GAUUAUUUAGUCUAUAAAAGACUUUUAAUUUGAAAUUAAAAAAUAGGAAUUCCUAAUAAUCU
rnacentral:tRNA from 1 species